AUACUUUGUUAAUUAGGAACAGAUAUUUAUUUUUUUUUUUUUUUUUAUCAGUUUAAUCGCUGAUACGUCCUUGAUGUGAGGACUGACACAUUAAAUACAUUUUUGGUGCCUGGGGUGGGCCUCGGAGCUUGCUCCAGCCCCUCCACGCAUUGGCCCGGUAUUGCAGUGCCUCCGGGCCCGGGGCCUGCUCC